rnacentral:rRNA from 1 species
AUUGAACGCUGGCGGCAUGCCUUACACAUGCAAGUCGAACGGCAGCACGGGAGCAAUCCUGGUGGCGAGUGGCGAACGGGUGAGUAAAGUAUCGGAACGUGCCCAGUCGUGGGGGAUAGCGUAGCGAAAGUUACGCUAAUACCGCAUACGAUCUAUGGAUGAAAGCGGGGGAUCGCAAGACCUCGCGCGAUUGGAGCGGCCGAUAUCAGAUUAGGUAGUUGGUGGGGUAAAGGCUCACCAAGCCGACGAUCUGUAGCUGGUCUGAGAGGACGACCAGCCACACUGGGACUGAGACACGGCCCAGACUCCUACGGGAGGCAGCAGUGGGGAAUUUUGGACAAUGGGCGCAAGCCUGAUCCAGCUAUGCCGCGUGCAGGAUGAAGGCCUUCGGGUUGUAAACUGCUUUUGUACGGAACGAAAAGGUUUGACUUAAUACGUUGGACUCAUGACGGUACCGUAAGAAUAAGCACCGGCUAACUACGUGCCAGCAGCCGCCGUAA